GUGAGUCAUCGAAUCUUUGAACGCACAUUGCGCCCGGUAGUACUCUACCGGGCAUGCCUGUCCGAGCGUCAUUUCAACCCUCGGGACCCGUUUCGGCGGGACCCGGCGUUGGGGAUCGGCCGUCCUCCGCGGCGCGCCGGCCCCGAAAUACAGUGGCGGUCUCGUUGUGACUCCCCUGCGUAGUAGUAACAUUCUCGCAUGCGGAAUAGCGACGCGGCCACGCCGUAAAACCCCCAACUUUUACCAAGGUUGACCUCGGAUCAGGUAGGAAUACCCGCUGAACUUAAGCAUAUCAAUAAGCGGAGGA
rnacentral:misc_RNA from 1 species